CACGUAGUUAGCCGGUGCUUAUUCUUCCGGUACCGUCAUCCCCCCGGGGUAUUAGCCCAGAGGAUUUCUUCCCGAACAAAAGCGGUUUACAACCCGAAGGCCUUCUUCCCGCACGCGGCAUGGCUGGAUCAGGGUUGCCCCCAUUGUCCAAAAUUCCCCACUGCUGCCUCCCGUAGGAGUCUGGGCCGUGUCUCAGUCCCAGUGUGGCUGGUCGUCCUCUCAGACCAGCUACGGAUCGUCGCCUUGGUAAGCCUUUACCCCACCAACUAGCUAAUCCGACAUCGGCCGCUCCAAUAGCGCGAGGCCUUUCGGUCCCCCGCUUUCACCCUCAGGUCGUAUGCGGUAUUAAUCCGGCUUUCGCCGGGCUAUCCCCCACUACUGGGCACGUUCCGAUGCAUUACUCACCCGUUCGCCACUCGCCGCCAGGCCGAAGCCCGCGCUGCCGUUCGACUUGCAUGUGUAAAGCAUGCCGCCAGCGUUCAAUCUGAGCCAGGAUCAAACUCU
rnacentral:rRNA from 1 species